CUGAGCUUACAUGGGGCAUUUCAAUACAGUGUGACCCAAUUACUUUCUGUCAACAAAUUCACCGGCAAAAUAAAGGGCUAACACAUUAAUGAGACUUCAUGAGACUGCACUGUAGAGAUGUUUGCAGUAAGAUCGCCAUCCGUCUUUAAAAUAACUAAAAUACUAUACGUAUCACAGAUCCUUUGAUUUGGAGAAGCCAGCCACUAUGUUGUGAGGCAGUCCUGUGGAGUGGUUCAUGUGGUACCUGGCCUGCCAACAAGACAUCCCCUGAGUGAGCCACCAAGCAGAUUCCUCCCUCCACCCUAACCAAGCCUUCAUAUGAGACUGCAGCUGUAACUAACAGCUUGAUUGCAAUCUUGUCACUUUCUAACAUGCCACCCUGUUUUUCUCAAACUGUAUCACCAAUAUUUCCUUAAAUAUCUAUUUAUUGA